rnacentral:tRNA from 2 species
UGGGAUAUCGCCAAGUGGUAAGGCAUCAGACUUUGACUCUGACAUUCGUAGGUUCGAAUCCUGCUAUCCCAGCCA